UUCAAGAUGGCAAGAAUUACAACCUCUAAAUAACUUUUGUUAAGAAAAAGGUAAAAAUGAAAAUUAUAAAUGAUUUAUAACUGAAUAAAAAUGAGAGCACUACAUAACUUAUAGGAGGUAGCCAAAGUUGUACUCAGAGAAAAAGUUAUUACCUUCAGGCUAUGUGCAUAAGGUGUAUAUGAAAAAAAAUGAAUUUCAUAUUUAGACUUGGGUCCCAUCCCCAAGAUAGCUCCUUUUGUGUAUGCAGAUAUUCCAAAAUCCAAAAACGUCUGAAAUCAGAAACACUUCGGGUCCCAAGCAUUUUGGAUAAAUGAUAUUCAACCUGUACCUACAAAAUCUUAAGUGAGAUUGAUACAAUUAGAUCUAUUCAAAAGAAAGCCAGAAUUAGCAAUGUUAAUAUCAACCAAAAUGGAUUUUAAGAUGGCAAGAAUUACAAUCUCUAAAUAACUUUUGUUAAGAAAAAGGCAAAAAUGAAAAUUGUAAAUGAUUUAUAACUGAAUAAAAAUGAGAGCACUACAUAACUUGCAGGAGGUAGCCAAAAUUGUACUCAGAGAGAAAGUUAGUCUUAAUACAUUUAUGAGAAAAUCAGAAAGACUGAAAAGAAAUAAGCUGUGCUUUUAAAUUAAGAAGCUAGAAAAAGAACAACGUAAUGAAAAAAGUAGAAAGAAUAAUGAUAAAAGCAAGAUUUAAGGAAAGAAAAACAGUAGAAGAGUUGCUGAACAAAAAUAAAACAUGGUUCUUUAAAACAUUAUCAAUGCAGACAAACCUUGGAUAAGUAAAAUAAAGAGAAAAAUGAGAAGGCUGAACAAACAGCAUCGGGAAUCAAAAAUGAUUAUAUCCACAGACAAAAGUGACUAGUAAAAUAUAAAGAAUCUAUAAUUUUCUACUAAUAAAUGUGAAAACCUACACAAAAAUAAAUUUAAAAAUAGACUCAAGAAGAAGUAAAAUACCUGAAUAAGCUAAGAAACAUGGAAAAAUCCGAAAUUGUGGUCAGUGACCAAAUUCGAAAAGUACCUGCAAUAGACAGACUGCUUUUGUCUCUCCGAAAAUUCGUAUGUUGAAAUCUGAACCCCCAACAUGAUGGUAUUAAGAGGGGGACCUGGGCCAGGUGCAGUGGCUCACACCUGUAAUCCCAGCACUUUGGGAGGCUGACUCAGGUGGAUCACCUGAGGUCAGGAGUUCAAGACUAGCCUGAUCAACAUGGAUAAACCCCGUCUCUACUAAAAAUACAAAAUUAGCUGGGCAUGGUGGCACAUGCCUGUAAUCCUAGCUACUCAGGAGGCUGAGGCAGGAGAAUCACUUGAACCUGGGGGGCGGAGGUUGCAGUGAGCCAGAUCACACCAUUGCACUCCAGCCUGGCAACAAGAGCAAAACUCCGUCUCAAAAAAGAAAAAAAAAAAAAAAAAAAAAAAGAAGGGGGCCUUUGGGAAGUAAUUAAGUCACAGGAGUGGAGCUCUCAUGAAUGGCAUUAGAUAUCCCAGAGAACUAGCUUCUUCCGUCCACCAUGUGAGAAGCUAGUUUGCUUCUAUUCCACCUCAUAGAAGGUGCUAUUUAUGAGGAAGCAGACCCUUCAUCUACUGGUGCCUCGAUCUUGGACUUCCCAGCCUCUAGAAUGAUGAGAAAUAAAUUUCUGUUGUUUAUAAGCUACCCAGUUUAUGGUAUUUUAUAAUAGCUGCCCAACUAAGACAGUACCAGACCCAGAGGGUAUAUUAAGGUGAGUUCUAUGAAGCUUUUUUAUUUAUUUAUUUAUCUAUUGAUUUAUUUUAGAUUAAAAAAAUAUUUUUAGAGAUGGGUUCUUGCUUUGUUGCCCAGAGUGGGAUUGAACUCCUAGGCUCCAAUGAUUCUCCUGCCUCAGCCUCCCAAAGUGCUGGGAUUACAGGUGUGAGCCACCACACCUGGCCUAUUUAUUUAUUUUAGAGGCAGGGUCUUGCUCUGUUGCCCAGGCUGGUCUUGAACUCCCGGCCCCUCAAGCAAUCCUCCUGCCUUGGUCUCUCAAAGUGUUGCAAUCAUAGUUGUGAGCCACUAUGCCUGGCCCCAACUUUUAAAUUAUUACAUAAUACUCAUUUUGGAUAAACUUCCAGUUUAUACAGAAAAGAGAUGGGAAAGUCUUAAUCUAAUUUUCUGAUAAUAGGAUCACUGUGAUCCUGAAAGUCGACAUGGACAGCACAAGAGGGAAAACUACAGCCACUUCCACUUAUACACACAAAUACAGAAUUACUAAUCAAUCAAUGACCAAGUAGGGUUGUUCCAGAAGAAUAUGCAAGAAAAGAGUUGAAUAAAUAGAAACGAUACCAUGUUCAUGGAUGGGAAGGCUCCAUUAUAGGUCUUGUACAUUUUUUAUUAGGUUCUUUUUCGAGUUUAUAUUGCUGUUAAGAUGCUGUGCCCGGCCGGGCCCGGUGGGUUGUUCUUAACACAUGCAAAUAGCCCCUGGCCACAGAACCAGGAGGAAAUUGCUGGGUGAUGGGGCAUGGCCACUGUCAACUCCACAAGCUAAGGCCACAGCAUUUGUACAUACAUCAAUUACAUCAAUUAGGUCUUUCUAUCACCAACAUCUGUUCUCAGUAUACUGUGAGCCCCACGAGGCCAAAGAUAACUCUCCCUUUUUCUCCCAGCCCUUAGAACAGUGCCUGGAGCAGCUCAGGAAAUGCUAAAUGCCUGAAUGUUCAGGGGCUAUGGAUGGCUCAGGGCAGACUCAUUCCCAUCCUGGGGAAAGAAACCUCAAAGAUGUUGCUGCUGGCAGAGCCACAGGAGCAGCCCCAUUUUUGCAUGUGCUGGUUCCUGCAAUGGAUCUGCAGAAAUCCAGGGCACUGUCAACAUGCAGUGGUUAGAAAUAUCUGCCUGCUUGAGGGCUCUGGGCCCGUGACAGGAGUCACUCCUCCGCCCUGUGCAACGACACCCUAGCCUCCUUUGUCUGAACUGGGACCCCAGCUCACCCUGCAGGCCCCCGAGGGCCAGGCCUGCUGGGAUGGAUACCCUCCAAGGCGAAAGCCAUGACGGAGAGAAAAAUCAUAGGCCUGGGGCCGGGAGAUCUGUUUUCUAUUCCUGGCCCUGCCAUUAAUAAACUGGGUGACCUUGGGCAAGUCACUUUGUCUCCCUUCUCAUCCUAUAAAAUGAGUUUGGACAGUGAUAGCCAAUUCUUGAACUUGAGAACUCAUCAGAAUCGCCUAGGAAACUUGUUAAAGUGGAUCCCCAGGCCCCACCCCACGGGGAUUGGGGUAGUAGGUCUGGAGUGGCACUUAGAUACAUGUAUAUUUACAUGACAAUGAAUUUAAAAAGACCACUGAAAACACUCACAAAUGGUUAGAAAAUUCAAUAGUAGAGAUUAUAAUAAAAAGCAGCGCUUCCCAUCCCUAGUGUGCUACCUACAGGCAACCACUUUUAAUCAUGUUUUUGAUCUGAUGGUUACUAUCUUAUUGCUAAAUAAUAAGCUAGUUCUUGUUUUAUCAACUUCAGACAUUACCCAUUGUCUUCCUGCUAUGACAGAUGAGGAGGACUCAGCUCACUUACCCCCCCACCACUCCUAAUAUAGUUCUG
rnacentral:lncRNA from 1 species